rnacentral:rRNA from 1 species
UACGGGGGGGGCAAGCGUUGUUCGGAAUUACUGGGCGUAAAGGGCUUGUAGGUGGCCAACUAAGUCAGACGUGAAAUCCCUCAGCUUAACUGGGGAACUGCGUCUGAUACUGGAUAGCUAGAGUUCGGCAGAGGGAAGCGGAAUUUCGGGUGUAGCGGUGAAAUGCGUAGAUAUCCGAAGGAACAUCAGUGGCGAAAGCGGCUUCCUGGACCAGAACUGACGAUCAGGCACGAAAGCGUGGGGAGCAAACAGG